rnacentral:tRNA from 1 species
AGGGUAGAAGUUUUAAAAUAUUUGAUCUGCACUCGAAAGAAGAUGACCGCCGCCAUCCUACCUUA